UACGAAGGGAGCUAGCGUUGUUCGGAGUUACUGGGCGUAAAGGGCGCGUAGGCGGUUUCGUAAGUCAGGUGUGAAAGCCCUGGGCUCAACCCAGGAAUUGCGCUUGAGACUGCGAGGCUUGAAUUCGGGAGAGGUUGGUGGAAUUCCCAGUGUAGAGGUGAAAUUCGUAGAGAUUGGGAAGAACAUCCGUGGCGAAGGCGGCCAACUGGACCGACAUUGACGCUGAGGCGCGAAAGCGUGGGUAG
rnacentral:rRNA from 1 species